AACGAACGCUGGCGGCAUGCCUAACACAUGCAAGUCGAACGAUGCUUUCGGGCAUAGUGGCGCACGGGUGCGUAACGCGUGGGAAUCUGCCCUGGGGUUCGGGAUAACAGCGGGAAACUGCUGCUAAUACCGGAUGAUAUCGCGAGAUCAAAGAUUUAUCGCCCUGGGAUGAGCCCGCGUCGGAUUAGGUAGUUGGUGGGGUAAGAGCCUACCAAGCCGACGAUCCGUAGCUGGUCUGAGAGGAUGAUCAGCCACACUGGGACUGAGACACGGCCCAGACUCCUACGGGAAGCAGCAGUGGGGAAUAUUGGACAAUGGGCGCAAGCCUGAUCCAGCAAUGCCGCGUGAGUGAUGAAGGCCUUAGGGUUGUAAAGCUCUUUUACCCGGGAUGAUAAUGACAGUACCGGGAGAAUAAGCCCCGGCUAACUCCGUG
rnacentral:rRNA from 1 species